UAAAAAAAAGAAUAUAUGACUCCUACAAAGAAAGUCUGAUAUUUGGUGAAGACAAGAGGACUGUUUUGAUGCUCUGAGGAUCAGGACCAUGCAGUCCUGUCUUUGGUCUUUUGCCUCUUUAGUACUGAGAUCUGAUUUUCUGGAGACGAUGAAAUCCACUCUGGAACUUUAUUCUGAAACUGUUGAACUGUUCUCACCCAGUCUCUCACAGAGUCCUGAACCUCUGAGAGACUCCGCCUCUCUGAAGGUCCGUCUUAGACCCGGUCUUGUUACUAACUUGUUGGACAUUCACCUCAUUGUUUUUCUGGUUUUAUUUGCUCGUGUCUGAACCGUUUUGAUUUUGGGUUUGACUGUCUUUGUAUGUUGAUAAAAAAAUAAUAAACUCUGAAUGUACUAAAAAAAUGUAUAAUUUUCUGAUUCAUUUAAAUUCUCCACAUGAUCCUAAAAAUAAAGAACUAAUAUUUUGGAACCAACUAAAGUUAAAUUUCUAUGAAAGGGUUGUUUUUUGGGACGUUUUAAUGAACCUGUAAAUCUGUUGUGUUAUAGUUGGCAGUGAAAAUGGAGAAAAAACACUCAAAGAAAGAAAACAGGUGCAAAUUAAGGUGAAGCAGCCAAGAGGACUUUUUAGUGAAGGUACUCCAGGCCAGUGGGGGGCGCUGAAUGAGCACUUUAUUACCGACAAGAAUUAAAUGAGCUGAAACUCUUCUGCUGCUGGUUCAGCUUUUUGCUGCAUAUUUGUUGUGUUUGUUUUUUUUUUAAUGAAAACUGUUUGGGCCGCUGCAGAUCGUUAGAAAAGUCCUUUCCCAACAGUUAACCUGGAAAAAGGCGGUCACCUUGUUGUCAGGUCAGAACGGUAAUUUAACCCCACAGAGAAGAUCUUUGGUCGGCUGCUCUGCUGAGAAUAUCAGUCGUUGAAAACCUGAAAAACUAUCCGGUAAAUAAUCGCAGCACAUCGCUGGCAGAGCGAGUAACUAAAACAACGAUCUGGAAUCAGAACCAGCGGCCACGAUGGUUCAAGAGGUUACUCUGAGUGACCAUCAAACUCCUGCAGACGCUCUUUUAAACCAGAAACCUGAGUUUUACAAACACAAAGAUCCAGUUGGCAAAUAUUCCUCAUGAACGCAUGAGUCCUGAGGCGAUGGCGAGGAUUAUUCGCCACGUCUUUCAUGUCAAAAGCCGACCGCUUGCUUCUCUAAUUAUACCAACUUUAGUAACGACCGCACGAUAGCAAUACACAGCGGUCUGAGGAGCCAUAAACAAACCUCAACCAAAACGCCACUCUAUAAGAAUGUCAUGGUUUAGUAUGAGAAAAAUAUCAGUGUAUAGUGUUUAAAAAAGGUCAUAGU